rnacentral:lncRNA from 1 species
AAAACGUUCGUAUCGACGAGUAGAACAGAACCCAAGUGGUUUCACCCUCUGAAAUUGGCUGUAAUUUCUGGAUUUUUGAAUCAAAGAAUUCCGCCGCCUGACUUUCAAACUCAGAUCCCGGCCAAUCCGAUCGUCGAAAUCGAAAAUAAAUUAUACCGGUGAAUUCGUCUUGACGAGAUCUUCGAAUCGAUACCUUACUCGCUCAAAUCCGAUAUAGGAUCGUAAUACUUUAAGAUUGUUGGAGGUUAGGGUUUUUAGGUGCUUAAAGUAUUACACCAAGAGACGUCAAGUUUGGAACGCUCAACAGUGUUACCUCCAGCAUAGGAAACCCUAGAAUUUUUAAAUAAGCUAUUGGGCUCCAGAGAUAUGGGCCUAAUUACGCUUUCACUUAUUGGGCUUGUAUGUGAACAUAUUAUUUGGAUUAUAUUAUAACAAAAUAUCCAAUAAUAAUAAUAUAUCCAACAAAGUAUACACAAAAUAAUCUAAACAGAGAUGAUGUACACAUGCUACACCAGUUAUUGGUUCAUAUGACAGCAGAAAAUAACUAUAAUUUUUUUUUGAUUAAACAGGGAUAGAAAAUAACUAUAAUUAAAACCGGAAACAUACAAUUUUAUUGACCGAUAAAACAUU